GCUUAACACAUGCAAGUCGAGGGGCAUCAGGAAGAAAGCUUGCUUUCUUUGCUGGCGACCGGCGCACGGGUGAGUAACACGUAUCCAACCUGCCCUUUACUCGGGGAUAGCCUUUCGAAAGAAAGAUUAAUACCGGAUGGCAUAGUUUUCCCGCAUGGGAUAAUUAUUAAAGGAUUCCGGUAAAGGAUGGGGAUGCGUUCCAUUAGGUUGUUGGUGAGGUAACGGCCCACCAAGCCUUCGAUGGAUAGGGGUUCUGAGAGGAAGGUCCCCCACAUUGGAACUGAGACACGGUCCAAACUCCUACGGGAGGCAGCAGUGAGGAAUAUUGGUCAAUGGGCGCUAGCCUGAACCAGCCAAGUAGCGUGAAGGAUGAAGGCUCUAUGGGUCGUAAACUUCUUUUAUAUAAGAAUAAAGUGCAGUAUGUAUACUGUUUUGUAUGUAUUAUAUGAAUAAGGAUCGGCUAACUCCGUGCCAGCAGCCGCGGUAAUACGGAGGAUCCGAGCGUUAUCCGGAUUUAUUGGGUUUAAAGGGAGCGUAGGUGGACUGGUAAGUCAGUUGUGAAAGUUUGCGGCUCAACCGUAAAAUUGCAGUUGAUACUGUCAGUCUUGAGUACAGUAGAGGUGGGCGGAAUUCGUGGUGUAGCGGUGAAAUGCUUAGAUAUCACGAAGAACUCCGAUUGCGAAGGCAGCUCACUGGACUGCAACUGACACUGAUGCUCGAAAGUGUGGGUAUCAAACAGGAUUAGAUACCCUGGUAGUCCACACAGUAAACGAUGAAUACUCGCUGUUUGCGAUAUACAGUAAGCGGCCAAGCGAAAGCAUUAAGUAUUCCACCUGGGGAGUACGCCGGCAACGGUGAAACUCAAAGGAAUUGACGGGGGCCCGCACAAGCGGAGGAACAUGUGGUUUAAUUCGAUGAUACGCGAGGAACCUUACCCGGGCUUAAAUUGCAGUGGAAUGAUGUGGAAACAUGUCAGUGAGCAAUCACCGCUGUGAAGGUGCUGCAUGGUUGUCGUCAGCUCGUGCCGUGAGGUGUCGGCUUAAGUGCCAUAACGAGCGCAACCCUUAUCUUUAGUUACUAACAGGUUAUGCUGAGGACUCUAGAGAGACUGCCGUCGUAAGAUGUGAGGAAGGUGGGGAUGACGUCAAAUCAGCACGGCCCUUACGUCCGGGGCUACACACGUGUUACAAUGGGGGGUACAGAAGGCAGCUAGCGGGUGACCGUAUGCUAAUCCCAAAAUCCUCUCUCAGUUCGGAUCGAAGUCUGCAACCCGACUUCGUGAAGCUGGAUUCGCUAGUAAUCGCGCAUCAGCCACGGCGCGGUGAAUACGUUCCCGGGCCUUGUACACACCGCCCGUCAAGCCAUGGGAGCCGGGGGUACCUGAAGUACGUAACCGCAAGGAUCGUCCUAGGGUAAAACUGGUGACUGGGGCUAAG
rnacentral:rRNA from 1 species